UUUAAGCGUAGCUAUAAGUUUCCGUAUUCAAUUUUAAUUAUUCGUUUUAUUUAACUUUUUUUGAAAAAAUUUAAAAAACAUAAGUCACAAAUAAAAUACUAUUUAUGUUUUAUCAUCUAAUAACAACAAAAAUACUAUUUUUUUUAAAUAAAACGAACCAUCAAAAUUAGACAUAAAAACUCAUGACUGUCUUUUAA
rnacentral:pre_miRNA from 1 species